UUCCCCACUGCGGUAGCACAGGAGAGCUUGCUCUCUGGGUGACGAGCGGCGGACGGGUGAGUAAUGUCUGGGAAACUGCCUGAUGGAGGGGGAUAACUACUGGAAACGGUAGCUAAUACCGCAUAACGUCUUCGGACCAAAGUGGGGGACCUUCGGGCCUCACGCCAUCAGAUGUGCCCAGAUGGGAUUAGCUAGUAGGUGGGGUAAUGGCUCACCUAGGCGACGAUCCCUAGCUGGUCUGAGAGGAUGACCAGCCACACUGGAACUGAGACACGGUCCAGACUCCUACGGGAGGCAGCAGUGGGGAAUAUUGCACAAUGGGCGCAAGCCUGAUGCACCCAUGCCGCGUGUGUGAAG
rnacentral:rRNA from 1 species